rnacentral:rRNA from 1 species
AGUGAACGCUGGCGGUAGGCCUAACACAUGCAAGUCGAACGGCAGCACAGUAAGAGCUUGCUCUUACGGGUGGCGAGUGGCGGACGGGUGAGGAAUACAUCGGAAUCUACUUUUUCGUGGGGGAUAACGUAGGGAAACUUACGCUAAUACCGCAUACGACCUACGGGUGAAAGCAGGGGAUCUUCGGACCUUGCGCGAUUGAAUGAGCCGAUGUCGGAUUAGCUAGUUGGCGGGGUAAAGGCCCACCAAGGCGACGAUCCGUAGCUGGGCUGAGAGGAUGAUCAGCCACACUGGAACUGAGCAACGGUCCAGACUCCUACGGGAGGCAGCAGUGGGGAAUAUUGGACAAUGGGCGCAAGCCUGAUCCAGCCAUACCGCGUGGGUGAAGAAGGCCUUCGGGUUGUAAAGCCCUUUUGUUGGGAAAGAAAAGCAGCAGGUUAAUACCCCGCUGUUCUGACGGUACCCAAAGAAUAAGCACCGGCUAACUUCGUG